rnacentral:tRNA from 1 species
GCAGGGGUAUCGAAGCCCGGUCAACCGAGAAGGACUCAAGAUCACGGUGGGUGAUCCUUUCCCCCAGGGGUUCGUGGGUUCAAAUCCCACCUCCUGCA